GUCUUCAGCCACACGGCCCUGAACAAGCCCGAUCCCAUCUGAUCUCGGAAGCUAAGCAGGGUCGGGCCUGGUUAGUACUUGGAUGGGAGACCAUCUAGGAAGACCAGGUGCUGUAGGCG
rnacentral:rRNA from 1 species